rnacentral:lncRNA from 1 species
AAUGGGGACUGGGUAUCUGAUCUUGGACAAGUCACUUAGUCUCAGCUCCAGUUCUCUCGUCUGCAGAUGGGAAUAAUGAAAACACCUACCCCCAAGGUGAGGACUCGUGAGACCAGCCACGUACUUGGCUGAGCACCAUGCCUGGCACAAGAGGGAAAGAGAUCAUAAGCAGGCAGAGCAGCAGCAGAGAGAGCGGGAAGCAGACUGCCCGCUGAGCAGAAAGCCCAAUGCAGGGCUCAAUCCCAGGACCCUGAGAUCAUGACCUGGGCUGAAGACAUAAGAGUUCCU